rnacentral:rRNA from 1 species
ACACGCAUGACACACUGCAUAUCAAUAAGCGGAGGAAAAGAAACUAACUAGGAUUCCCUCAGUAACGGCGAGUGAAGCGGGAAGAGCUCAAAUUUGAAAUCUUCAAGGUUCUACCUUGACGAAUUGUAGUUUAAAGAAGUGUUUUCUGUUGGAGUUUUGGUAAAAGUUCUUUGGAAUAGGACAUCAUAGAGGGUGAGAAUCCCGUAUUUGACCGUUAUUUUCAGCUGUGUGAUACACUUUCAAAGAGUCGGAUUGUUUGGGAAUGCAGUCCAAAAUGGGUGGUAAAUUUCAUCUAAAGCUAAAUAUUGGCGAGAGACCGAUAGCGAACAAGUACCGUGAGGGAAAGAUGAAAAGAACUUUGAAAAGAGAGUUAAACAGUACGUGAAAUUGUCAAAAGGGAAGCGUUUGACACCAGUGUUGUUUUCUCGAAAAUCAAUUAAAAAUGGCUUGAUUUUGUGUUGUAUUGACCUUAAAAGCUUUCUUCACUUUUUUCAUGUCUUUUUUAAUGCACUUUUCGUUUAACAAGUCAACAUCAGUUUCUUUUGUUGUAAAAAGGUCAUUGGAAGGUGGCUUUCUUUUCGGAGAAAGUGUUUAUAGCCUUUGACUUCUGCAAUCGGAGAGACUGAGGUCUGCAGCGUAGAUCCUUCUGGAUUAGAUUCAUUUGUGCUAAGUUACAACCGUUUAUAGACAACUUGUUGACUAUAUUCGAUCCUGUAGCUUACUCGCUUAUGUAAUUUUACCUACGCUUAGGAUGUUGAAGAUGUAGCACAUCAU